UACGUAGGGUGCAAGCGUUGUCCGGAAUUAUUGGGCGUAAAGAGCUCGUAGGCGGUGUGUCGCGUCGGUCGUGAAAACUUGGGGCUUAACUCUGAGCUUGCGGUCGAUACGGGCAUCACUGGAGUUCGGCAGGGGAGACUGGAAUUCCUGGUGUAGCGGUGAAAUGCGCAGAUAUCAGGAGGAACACCGGUGGCGAAGGCGGGUCUCUGGGCCGAUACUGACGCUGAGGAGCGAAAGCGUGGGGAGCGAACAGG
rnacentral:rRNA from 1 species